CCGCUCCUGUUUCCUUCCUCCAUGAUCUUACCGUACCCAAAACAGUCGCCACAGCGAUCAUGGCAGCUUGUUGCAAUUACUGUCAUACCAACCGUACCGGAAAGGAUAUAGGGCGAAAUUUCCACAGGUUUCCUGUCAUGGGGACCACCCGGAGGGUUGUCUGCAGUGCUUGGUGCAGACUGAUACGAUCGAGGUUCAUCAAGCAUCACGUUCCUCACCCACGGGUUCUUACUUCACGGGGAGGAACCACCCCAGUGCAUGCCUCUGAGCAGUUCCAUCACAGCUGCCUCGACAUACUCAGAAAAUGGAUGCAGAACCUGCGCAGUGCCCACAAACUUCGAUUACUACGGCACCUCCAAAAGUAAAAGCAUAUGCGUCACAUGAGAUUUUU